UAGGGAAUUUCGUCAAUGGGCGCAAGCCUGAACGAGCAAUGCCGCGUGAACGAGGAAGGUCUUCGGAUCGUUAAAGUUCUGUUGAGAGGGAAAAAGGGUCACCAGAGGAAAUGCUGGUGAAGUGAUAUUACCUUUCGAGGAAGUCACGGCUAACUACGUGCC
rnacentral:rRNA from 1 species